GUUUAAUUCAUGUUUGACCCGCCACUGAUGGAUCAUCUGUUCACCUUCAACAGUGUCCUAUGCUGUUUUGUGAAGCUCGCGAUGCUUUUUAUCACUCUACUGUUCCACGCCAUUGACUUACUGACGUCUUACUGCAGGCGACAUGGAAAUAUGGAGGAGACACUCUCAUGCUGAAGCAAUUGCAGAUUAAAUCUGUCUCGGUCUGCAGUAGAUGCUAGAGGAAAGACACCACCCUCUUCUGUGUUUGGGGUACAACACUAGAGACUGGACCAAUGAAGUCAGAUGGAUUUGGUAUGGAACUCAAGACUGGAUUUUCCUCUCACACCAGAAGUACCUGUGGAUGAGCCUCCAGCCGUCUCCGUGAUGGUCUGCCUGAGAGACUAGAGCUGAGAAAGAUGGAGAGGCAGAGAGUGCUGCUCGAUGAGAGAGAGAGAGGAGA